CAUAGCGACUAUCGUGGCAUAUCAAUAAGCGGAGGAAAAGAAACUAACAAGGAUUCCCUUAGUAACGGCGAGUGAAGCGGGAAGAGUUCAAAUUUGAAAUCUUCAAGGUUCUACCUUGACGAAUUGUAGUUUAUAGAAGUGUUUUCUGUCAGUAGGAGUGGCAAAAGUUCUUUGGAAUAGGACAUCAUAGAGGGUGAGAAUCCCGUAUUUGGUCAUUCCUCCUAGCUUUGUGAUACACUUUCAACGAGUCGGAUUGUUUGGGAAUGCAGUCCAAAAUGGGUGGUAAAUUUCAUCUAAAGCUAAAUAUUGGCGAGAGACCGAUAGCGAACAAGUACCGUGAGGGAAAGAUGAAAAGAACUUUGAAAAGAGAGUUAAACAGUACGUGAAAUUGUCAAAAGGGAAGCGUUUGACACCAGUGUUGUUUUUCCGAAAAUCAAUUACGAAUGUUUUAUUUUUGAGAAGUUAUGACUUCAUCGGCUUGCUUCUCUCUUUACUGAAACUUUCUUAAUGCACUUUUCGGUUAACAAGUCAACAUCAAUUUCUUUUGUUGUAAAAGGGUAAGAGGAAGGUGGCUUUCUCUUCGGACGCAAGUGUUUAUAGCCUUGUACCCUCUGCAAUCGGAGAGAUUGAGGUCUGCAGCGUAGAUCCUUCGGGGUUAGAUACAUUUGUGCUAAGUUAUAGCUUGUCAUAGACAACUUGUUGACUAUGUUCAGUCAUUGUAGCUUACUCGCUUAUGCUAUUUUACCUACGCUUAGGAUGUUGAUAUGCAUGACUGAUAU
rnacentral:rRNA from 1 species